CAACCGAAUCGGCCGAAGUAACGGGAAUCGAGUUUAUGGGAGUUGGAGUGUGGCAGACACGCUGGUGAUAUACAGAAGGCAAUCUUUAAUCGUGUGUCAACGUUGCGUCUUCUAUGCAAAUGGAAAUGGAAAAACUAAUGCACUUUAGGGGAAACAUUUUAUUUUAUAAUCCGGGUUCUCAACUUGUCGCGAUUUUCAACGGGGCUAUAAAGCAUUUUUUGGAGAUUGUGAUUCUUAUUUUUAGUUCUUUCAGAUUUCGAUCGGAAUUCAUGUAUCAACCCUGAAAAGAGGAGGGAAGCCCGGUAGCUUGAAAAGUCACUUUGGACAAUGUUAAACUACUUCGAGUAAAGGAUUAAGUUCCGGCGAUCAAAGAUGUGUUUCGAGAAAAUUCUGGCCUAUAGAAACCAGAUUGAACAGUUACUGCAAUAACGUGUCUUUUGAACUUGCAACUUA
rnacentral:misc_RNA from 1 species